rnacentral:misc_RNA from 1 species
AAGUCGUAACAAGGUUUCCGUAGGUGAACCUGCGGAAGGAUCAUUAAAUAAUUAUACUGAUCGUAGUGGUAAAAAAAGCUACGUAUCUUUAUUUUUACUGUGAACUGUUUUUAUUUCACGGUGCUUGAGGAAUUGCUCGGUACGUCAUAAUGGACAGGCUACCGAGAUGUUAACCGAACCGUGGUCAGGCUUAGGCCUGGUGUCCUAUUUAUUAUUUACCAAAAAAGAAUUCAGUAUAAAAAAUAUUGUAACAUAAGCCUAAAAAACUUAUAAAAACAACUUUUAACAACGGAUCUCUUGGUUCUC